rnacentral:miRNA from 2 species
CAGCCAAGGGUGAUUUGCCGG